rnacentral:tRNA from 1 species
GGGGACGUGGCUCAACUGGUAGAGCAUCGCCUUUGCAAGGCGGGGGUUGGGGGUUCGAGUCCCCCCGUCUCCACCA